GCCGGGCGUGGUAGCGGGCGCCUGUAGUCCCAGCUACUUGGGAGGCUGAGGCGGGAGAAUGGCGUGAACCCAGGGGGCGGAGCUUGCAGUGAGCGCGAGAUCGCGCUCACUGCAAGCUCCAGCCUGGGAGACACAGCGAGACUCCGUCUCAA
rnacentral:sRNA from 1 species